CAAGAGAAAUAAGAGACCCGUUAUCAAACCUAAGAGGUCUUUUAACGUGUACCAUGUGUCAAUUAAAAAAAAUAUACAAGUAUCUAAGAGACCCGUCAUAACCUAACAAAUCACUUAAAGGCUUAAAUCUUGUAGUACAUUUUAUAUACCAACAUCUUUAUAUUAUCCCCCACUCCACUAUUCUUUUCAUAUUCUUCUAGUCUCUUCCUUAUCUUGUCUUCAUUCUCUCUCUUCUCAAUUUUCUCACUCUAAAUUAUUGAGGCUGAAUGCAAUAAAGCCCCUCAUUUAAUCUUCUCUAGAUUUAUUUUCUUUCCCCCCUCUAAAGUAUGACCUACCUCUAGAUCUACGGUUUUUCUCUAGUAGAAUGGUGGUUUCAGAUGAUGUCCGACUCUACUAACUGUCACUAUCCUCGCUAAGUGAUUGAGUGGUUUGUGCUGGGUUCUCACUCGUGGCUCCUUACUGCCGUAGCCCGUGGAGUACUCAAUUGAGGGCAGAGCGAAUAUGGAGUACUCAAGCUAUAUUAACGAAUAUUAUGAAUAGUAAUUAUAAGUGUAAAUUUCAAUUAUGUUUAUACUUCGUGUGUUUUAGUGUUUUUUUUUUGUAUAAUACUCCAUUAAUCCAUAUCAGUUUUGUUAUAAAGUACGGAGUACUUUUCUAGUCUGUAAUUUACCAUUUUUCUGCCAUUGGAAUAAAGAAUACAUUUUCAAAUUUCAUAUUUCAAAAUUAAAAUAUGAAAAAAAAAUUUGUUUUUUUUUCAAAAGAAAAAGAAUCAAAGAAACCCAUCAUAAAACAUAGCAGGUCUGUUAGUUUCAACUAAAGAUACCUAAUAUUUCAAAUAACAGGUCUGUUUCCCUCAGUAUAUGACAACUUGUACCCUCACAUAACAAACCACAUAUCUUUAUCAACGGGUCUGUUUGUCUUUCAAAGAGACCGCACCUCAUUAUGGGGUCUAGUUAUCAAACAGACCUCUGAGAUAGAGACCUGUUCAAAAGUGGUCUCUUAGGCAUAUUUGAACGCCUCUCUUAGACAAUUUUUGUAGUAGUGACACUAUCUUGUUCCCGCUCCAUGAUGGAUUUGUUCUAGUCAAGCUUAUUCAUGAUGAUGAAGGCUCGACAGUGACAUUAGUCAACCUUUUGGUCAACCAUUCAGAGGAGUACUUGAAGAGGGAAGGAAGCCAGUGCUUCUAUUGCAGUAGGUGGUCUUGCCACAUACAUGGGUGUCCCCAUUACACACCACUGAAAACGGAAGGGCCUAGAAAGGAGUAAGAAAUUAGCAAAAGGGGAAGUCGCACUUAGAGUAGGAAAUGGAGCAAAAGUUGUCGCACUUGCUAUUGGAAGCUAUAAUUUGAGACUUCCAUCUGGUCUUAUUUUGGUACUUAAUAACUGUUAUUAUGUCCCAACAAUUACCAAGAACAUUAUUUCAGUUCAUGAUUUAGAUACUGAAGGUUCGUCUUUUGAAAUAAGAGACAAGUGUUGUUUUAUAUCUAAAGGAAAUAUUUCA